CUGAGGUCAGGGGGAGGUGGGGCUGGGCUUGCUCAUGGGGCUCCUGCAUGGGAUCCCCAUCUCUUCUGACAAUAUUAAGAAUAGAUUAAGAAUAGAGAGUGAAGUGAGCUUCAUAGAGCAGCUUCCCCAGGAUGACUGAGGAGAAGGAGGGAAAGUUGGAGAGCAGCUGUUCUCUGGAAGUGAUUAAACCCUAGAGAGAUACACAUAAUCAUAGAAAAUGGAGAAAAAGAUGGUUUAUAAGCUCAAAAUUAGUUCCAUGCCUUUGACACUAAAACCACUUCUCCUCUGGUGUGGGAAGGACAUCUCUGGAUCAUGGCACUAGACCUGGAGUUUUAAAGGAAUAAGAGUGCCCGGGCAGCCCUGUUGCUCCGUAUCCGUUCCCCCGUCUUCCUCGGCAGGAGGAUCUCCACUCUGGGAUGGACCCUGUGUUUCCCAGCCCAAGCCACUCCAGGGUUUUGGAGUUGGAAUGAGUUUGACAGCUCUGGCUAGUGACAAGACCUCACUAAGUUGCCCAGGCUGGCCUCAAACUUACGAUGCUCCUGCCUUGGCCUCCCGAACCGCUGGAAUGGAAUUACAGGCGUGCACCACUGCCACGGGCAGGACAGUUGUUUUCAAUAUCUGAAAGGCUGUGUUGUAGAGUUGGGAUCAAACUAUUUGGCUCUACCCCAGUGAGUGGGAUUGGGACCUUUGAUGGAAGCAUCUGGAAGGUGCUGAGGAUCGAACCCAGGGUCUCACAUGUGCGAGGCGAGUGCUCUGCCGCUGAGCCACAACCCCAGCCCCUCACCCAACUUUUUGAUUCUCGGAUUCUGUGUGUGUUGUGAGUUCCGUUCUGCACCAUGGAAGACCAGGACACCAAGACCUGCAGCGAGUUUCACGUGCCACACAGCUCACUCUCUCUGAGCCUCAGAGCUACCUGCUUUCCUGUAUUUUCAAGUCUUCUGUUCCUUUCAGGAAGAAAAAAAAAAGAACAACAACAAUAAAACCCCAAUUGUGUCUGCCACGCCACCCAGACCCAGUUAGCAUGUUUGGACAGGAUAUGCAGUUACCCAAUAUUGUCUGAAAGAUGUGUUUUCCUGACUCUGGACAAAUUGGAGCAGACUUUCCCUUUGAUGUGCAAUCUUCUGUCUCAACACACCACUAAACCAGUCAGGGUCACUCCAGGUGAACUGGGCUGGCACGAAAUCAUCACAUAGAGACAGAGGAAGACCUUUUUCUUUGGGUUCUGUGACAGCUCUGCUGACCGAGCGGCCACAAAGGAGGCGAGAGAGAGAGAGAGAGAGAGAGCAGGCCUUGAACCCGGGCUUUUAUUGGCUGUUCCAUGGAAUAUUCUAUCCCCCAAAGGGCAAAGGGGUAGGAUUACAAAGGAAUAGGUGUCCAGGCUCAGAGGGCUACUUGCGGAAGAGGAGGAACGAGGAAUGUGCUGAGUCUACGGAAUUCCAGAGCCCACUGUGUUCCCACUGUACGUGGAUGUCCAGAGAAUAAAUCACUCGAAAAUCUUAAAAAUCA